rnacentral:lncRNA from 1 species
GCCCAAACCGACGUGUCCAGCGGGCAGCGGCAGGAGUCCAGCCGGCAGCCAAGGCCGCACCGCCCUAUAAGAGCGGCCGCCGGCGCUACCCACAGUAGUCACUGCAGACCGCGCAGCACACACACCUCAAAGCACCAUGAAGGCUUUCGUCUGCUCUUUCCUCGUAGUGCUGCUGGUGGCGGCCGUGUUCGCCCAGGAGAAGGCCAAGGAGACCCUGAAGGGCGCCGAGGCCUACUACGCCUACGCCGCCCCCUACGCCUACAGCGCCUUCGGCUACCCCGCCGUCAGCGCCUACUCCGCCUACCCUUACGCUGCCGCCGGCUACCCCUACUACUACCGCUGAACACGGACACGGCUUCUAUGAGGAUGCAGCUCUUACUUCAUUGACUGCUGUACUCUCUUCCUUCCUUCAAUAAAUACAACUGUAUUACAAAAC